rnacentral:lncRNA from 1 species
CACAGCAAGACCACCCGUUAGGGGACUGGAGCUCAGAGGGUCCCUGGAGAACAGGACCAACGGUGUCUUUUCAUCAAAGAACGGCAGAACAGCGUCUUUUCACCAAAGAACAAACGACUGGGAGGUGGAGGCAGAUGCUCUGCGUUGGUCUCAGUUACAGACUCGGAAGUUGAGGGCGACUUCGGAGUCACAGAUUUGGUUGUCACCAAAGUUCCUUGUCUCAGCGACGAGGGGCUGCCUUAGACGUCAGGAUGAGGAGACUUCAAGCUGGCUCAUUCUAUCCUGGUAGAAGGGAAAUCCAGGCAUCGGGUCCUGCAGUGGUCAGCGCUGGCUCCGUCCGACUCCGUGCGAAUCGCCUUGGGUUUGUCCCUUUUGUCGCCGAGGCUCUGGAGAUGCUCAGACCAAAUGUGAUCAAGCACUUUCUUCGCUGCAUAUACCCAGUGUUGUGGCUGGCACCACUGAUCACGGAAUCUUCUAAGUGCAGAGCUGAUGCCAGGCACCACUUGCAUCUCCAGAACUGAGUGCUAAGUAAUCAUAUUUUCUUUAUAAAGUUAGUUUGCCUGAAGAAUUACAUGGUUGACAAUAAAAAGCACAUUCAAACACCUUCUAAUUUAGACUUACUAUAUAGCAUCCUGGGCAAACA